rnacentral:rRNA from 23 species
GACCUGAGAGGGUGAUCGGCCACACUGGAACUGAGACACGGUCCAGACUCCUACGGGAGGCAGCAGUAGGGAAUCUUCCGCAAUGGGCGAAAGCCUGACGGAGCAACGCCGCGUGAGUGAUGAAGGUCUUCGGAUCGUAAAACUCUGUUAUCAGGGAAGAACAAAUGUGUAAGUAACUGUGCACAUCUUGACGGUACCUGAUCAGAAAGCCACGGCUAACUACGUGCCAGCAGCCGCGGUAAUACGUAGGUGGCAAGCGUUAUCCGGAAUUAUUGGGCGUAAAGCGCGCGUAGGCGGUUUUUUAAGUCUGAUGUGAAAGCCCACGGCUCAACCGUGGAGGGUCAUUGGAAACUG